UACAGAGGUCUCAAGCGUUGUUCGGAAUCACUGGGCGUAAAGGGUGCGUAGGCGGUCGGGUAAGUCUGAUGUGAAAUCUCACAGCUUAACUGUGAAACUGCAUUGGAUACUAUCCGGCUAGAGGAAUGGAGGGGAGACUGGAAUACUUGGUGUAGCAGUGAAAUGCGUAGAUAUCAAGUGGAACACCAGUGGCGAAGGCGAGUCUCUGGACAUUUCCUGACGCUGAGGCACGAAAGCCAGGGGAGCAAACGGG
rnacentral:rRNA from 1 species